rnacentral:tRNA from 1 species
GGAUAAACUCAGUUGGUAGACCAUGAGACUCUUAAUCUCAGGGUUGUGGGUUUGAGCGCUACGUUGGGCA